GGAGUUCAGUCAACUGAAGCUUCCUUAUUUCGGCAGAAGUCACCUUACAUGACUCCAAGGUUAGGGAGCGUAGGUUCUUCAGUGGCUUCAAAUGCUGCAGACCUUUAUUGGUUAUCAGAGAAUUCGAAACAUUGAGUGACACCAACUCCUCCAACCCUGUAUUUCAUGUUGGCAAACAUUACAAGCAACAAUUUGUUAGUUAGGACUUGGAACCACUCCAGACUUGUCGGACCAAAUCACUGUCCGGAUGUAGUUCAAGUUCCAGCAAAGAGUCACAGAAGGACUAAAAUACCAGAUAUCAUCUCCAAGG
rnacentral:lncRNA from 1 species